ensembl:lncRNA
AAUACUGCUAGAAGCUUCUGAGGAACCUUCAUUCAUUCCUGCAGCUGGUGAGAGAGAAAAUGAAUAGUAAUUCAUAAGACUGAGUUGGCAUCACAACUACCAUGGCAAAUUGCUGUGGCAUCAGGAUGCCCAGCCAUGAGAAGCCAUCUGCUGUGCUGUAAAGGCAGAGGAUGAGUGAUCGGUGAUGCCUGAAAGUAAAAGAAUUCCCAUUUUACCAGGGAUAGCUCAGUGAACUGUAUGACAAGCAACAUGUCAUCUCUACAAGUGGCUGUAGGGUUGUAAAACAACAAGCAGAGCUUGCUGAGACCACUGACAUGCUGCAGUCAUUCCUGCAGAGUGCAGAGAAGAAAAGCAGAUGCUCCUCAGCCUUUUAUAUUGCCUUCACAUUGAACAUGUAACUGUAAGUAGGAAAAAGUCCCAUCUGGACGUUGAUAUUCAGAAGCAUCAGAAGGAUACUGCCAUUCUCCAGCUGUGGAACUGAGCACAGAGCACUCCUCUGCAUGCCUGCAGCUUUGAACGUAUUUAAUAGUCAGAGAAUCGAAAUUCUGGUUAUCAUACUCCUGUCUUCCUAAAACCCAAUGUUGCACUUGGAAAUGCAGUUCCAAAUCCCCAGGGAAAGUGGUAGGAAUAUAUCAACAAUAACUUAAUAACCAAAGCCUCAACAAAAUAGCUACUGCUCUCUCCCUGGUGAUCAGCUUCCCUCGGGUUACCUGCAGGAUGCUGACAUGAGCAGUUCUCAUCUCCAUAUAGAAGAAGAAGCUGGGGAAGGCACAUUUGUUUCUAAGAAAAUAAAACUAAUCACUUUGAAUGAUACACUAACAGCAUUUUUUACAGCUUUUACAAGAGGACUUUAGCAUUAGGUAAAAGGAGCCUUCAAAAUUAUGGCACCAAAUCAAGACAAAACACUGAAGGAGAUGUCUGGCACUACACUAACUUCUCCAGGGACCAUAUCUGUGCUUUGGAAGAUCAGUAGCUGAGGCAUGUACUGAGGCUGAGCUGUAAUGGGAAAUAUGAUCCCAUGGAGGAAGUGAAUGUUGCAAUGCUUUAUCAUGUGCUUUGCCAACCUGUGUCUCAAGGCCAUGUUGCCACAUUUUACAUUGAACAGAUUACUCAAUUUGCUAAAAUUAGAUUUCUCACCAUCUAAGGAAUCGAUAUUACUGUUUUGCGAUCCCUUCCCUCAUUAUACAGAAUUAAAAUUGGUCAGUCAAUCAUAUCAAACUUCCAUGCACCUCGCAUGACUCCAUCAAUUAUUUUAAGGGUGGAACUGAUACAGGGUUUUUCUGCCAUUUUCUUCUCUCUACCACAAUCACAGGUUCAUUUAUUGGUGUAAUUUUGGAUUUAAUAAAACUUGAUACUUUAAGAAAC